GUCCGGAUGGCGGAAUUGGUAGACGCGCACGCUUGAGGGGCGUGUGGCUUUGCUGUGUGGGUUCAAGUCCCACUCCGGACA
rnacentral:tRNA from 2 species